rnacentral:rRNA from 1 species
AUAUCAAUAAGCGGAGGAAAAGAAACCAACAGGGAUUACCUCAGUAACGGCGAGUGAAGCGGUAACAGCUCAAAUUUGAAAUCUGGCCUUGGCCCGAAUUGUAAUUUGCAGAAGAUGCUUUGGGCGUGGCACCGGUCUAAGCUCCUUGGAACAGGACGUCAUAGAGGGGUGAGGAUCCCGUAUGUGACCGGCCGCCUACCCCGUGUAAAGCUCUUUCGACGAGUCGAGUUGUUUGGGAAUGCAGCUCAAAAUGGGUGGUAUAUUUCAUCUAAAGCUAAAUAUUGGCCAGAGACCGAUAGCGCACAAGUAGAGUGAUCGAAAGAUGAAAAGCACUUUGGAAAGAGAGUUAAACAGUAC